GUUUUUCAAAAAAGGGAGACUUCCUUGGAC
rnacentral:piRNA from 1 species